UACAGAGGUGGCAAGCGUUGUUCGGAAUUACUGGGCGUAAAGGGCGCGUAGGUUGUUCUGUAAGUCCUGUGUGAAAUCCCUCGGCUCAACUGAGGAACCGCACAGGAGACUGCUGGACUUGAGUUCGGGAGAGGGACGCGGAAUUCCGGGUGUAGCGGUGAAAUGCGCAGAUAUCCGGAGGAACACCGGUGGCGAAGGCGGCGUCCUGGACCGACACUGACACUGAGGCGCGAAAGCUAGGGGAG
rnacentral:rRNA from 1 species